CUACGUGCCAGCAGCCGCGGUAAUACGGAAGGUCCUGGUGUUAUCCGGAUUUAUUGGGUUUAAAGGGAGCGUAGGCCGUAGAUUAAGUGUGUUGUGAAAUGUAGGCGCCCAACGUCUGCCUUGCAGCGCAAACUGGUUUACUUGAGUACGCGCAACGCAGGCGGAAUUCGUCGUGUAGCGGUGAAAUGCUUAGAUAUGACGAAGAACUCCUAUUGCGAAGGCAGCUUGCGGGAGCGUUACUGACGCUGAAGCUCGAAAGUGCGGGUAUCGAACAGGAUUAGAUACCCUGGUAGUCCGCACGGUAAACGAUGGAUGCCCGUUUUUGGCUUGUUUUAAGCCAGAGACCAAGCGAAAGCAUUAAGCAUCCCACCUGGGGAGUACGCCGGCAACGGUGAAACUCAAAGGAAUUGACGGGGGCCCGCACAAGCGGAGGAACAUGUGGUUUAAUUCGAUGAUACGCGAGGAACCUUACCCGGGCUUGAAUUGCAGACGACGUAUUUAGAGAUAGAUAUUCA
rnacentral:rRNA from 1 species